rnacentral:rRNA from 1 species
GACGAACGCUGGCGGCGUGCUUAACACAUGCAAGUCGAACGGAAAGACCCUGCUUUUGUGGGGUGCUCGAGUGGCGAACGGGUGAGUAACACGUGAGUAACCUGCCCUUGUCUUUGGGAUAACUUCAGGAAACUGGGGCUCAUACCGGAUAGGAGCUCCUGCUGCAUGGUGGGGGUUGGAAAGUUUCGGCGGUUGGGGAUGGACUGGCGGCUUAUCAGCUUGUUGGUGGGGUAGUGGCUUACCAAGGCUUUGACGGGUAGCCGGCCUGAGAGGGUGACCGGCCACAUUGGGACUGAGAGACGGAGCAGACUCCUACGGGAGGCAGCAGUGGAGAAUAUUGCACAAUGGGCGGAAGCCUGAUGCAGCAACGCCGCGUGCGGGAUGACGGCCUACGGGUUGUAAACCGCUUUCGCCUGUGACGAAGCGUGAGUGACGGUAAUGGGUAAAGAAGCACCGGCUAACUACGUG